UACGGGGGGAGCAAGCGUUGUUCGGAAUUACUGGGCGUAAAGGGCGCGUAGGCGGCCUUCUAAGUCAGACGUGAAAUCCCCCGGCUUAACCUGGGAACUGCGUCUGAUACUGGGAGGCUAGAGUAUGGGAGAGGGAUGUAGAAUUCCAGGUGUAGCGGCGAAAUGCGUAGAUAUCUGGAGGAAUACCGGUGGCGAAGGCGGCAUCCUGGACCAUUACUGACGCUGAGGCGCGAAAGCUAGGGGAGCAAACGGG
rnacentral:rRNA from 1 species